AUUGUAUUCAACAAUGUUGUUCAGAAGAUUAUUCAAACUCGUUUUAUUGCUUUGGCUUUUGACAUCUUUUGUUUCGGCGACAGACAAAAGAAGAAGGCAGAGAACUAGUAAUAGCGGAAAACGAUAUCGGGAAGACAUUUUGGAUUCUAUCACUGAGGAAAAUUUUGAUCAGCAGGAAAAAUGAAAUUGAAGACUCAAAAAGAAAGACAAAAUUUCAAUGUGUUUUUUCUUUCUUUGGCGACAAAAACAAAAAAGCCAACAAACCAUUUUCCGCAUAUAUUACCUGUAAUAUCGAGACAAAAAUCUAUUUGUAAAAUAAACAUUUGUGGUUGAUAAUUAUUAUUCAAAAAAUAAAUAUGAUGAUAAUAGGUAAAA